rnacentral:lncRNA from 1 species
CUCCCUCCCGACAGCACCCCGGGACCCACACAUCCCUCAAACCUUCUCACUGCAUCUCACGUGUGGGUUUUGUCCAGUGCACGGCAGGCCCUUCGGCCCAUCCCUGUCCUACAAGAAGCUGGCAUUUCACGCACAGAAUCAAGUUGAGCGGAAAGUCAUCAGGGGGCCAUGGGGCCACGUCCCCCCAUGUCCUCCCUCCCUAUCUGAGCCUUCCUGCUCUGAGCACUCUGCCCAUGUUCUUCCUGGGGGUCGAGGUUUCUUUUCCCUCCACCCCGGCUCUGUGAGGACUCCGUGUUCCUUCCACGAGGCCCUGGUAGGACAGCCUGUGUUUCGGGCGCUUCCUUCUCAAUAGGCAGAAAGGAUGGCCAGGGGGGAGGGGCCUGACCGAUGGGACCACACUGGAGGAGGUGGGGGUCUGUUGCCACCCCUCACCUGCCCCGCAUCGCCCUCCACACCUCCCUCCCUGUGCUCAUCUCCCCAGUUACGGCAGAGUCUAUGCGGCCACUGACCCCUACCACCACACCAUCGGCCCCCCGGCGACCUACAGCAUCGGAACCAUGGCUAGCCUCUGCCGAGGAGGGUGCAGCCGCUUCACCCCCUACUAGCAAGAGGGCCAGCCCCUAGCAGCAUUCACACUGACUGCCCAGUACACACCACACCCAGCAGCCCAAAACCAGGCACAGCCACCGGGAGGACAGUGCGCCUCCCAGGCAGCGGCACGCGACGCUAAAGUCCAUAGGUUUACCUCCAGCCAGCCGGUGCCCCUGCCCCUCACCAUGGCGUGUGUGUCUUUGACCUUGGUUACCCCUGUAUGUCUGAAACCUUGCUUCCUAUUUUGACUAUGUUGACGUUGUGACCCCCCCAAGCCAUUUCAGGUACAGUAUGCACAUAGCGGGAGGGGCCAGGCUGGGGACGAGGACCCGCACCCCCAGCCCCAGAACUAGCAAUAGAGCCCGCCAGGGCGACACCCACUUCCCAUCAUCCCCUGGGUCUGCAGAGCCAAGGAGACCGCCCCCAGCCUGCCGGGACCCCUCUUCUGGGGUUCAGGGAGGGAGGAAGCGCUCCCGUCCUCUGGA